UAGAUGGACCUGCUUUGAUGUUACUACAACC
rnacentral:piRNA from 1 species